UUCGCAAUGCCCGAAAGGGUGACGAAGCGACGCCGCGUGGGUGAGGAAGGCCUUCGGGUUGUAAAGCCCUGUCAGGAGUUAAGAAAUGUAAGUGCGCUAAUAUCGCAUUUAUUUGACAAAGGCCCCAAAGGAAGCCACGGCUAACUCUGUGCCAGCAGCCGCGGUAAUACAGAGGUGGCAAGCGUUGUUCGGUAUUAUUGGGCGUAAAGAGCACGUAGGUGGUUUUGUAAGUCAGGUGUGAAAGCCUUCUGUUCAAAGGAAGAACGGCAUCUGAAACUGCAGAUCUUGAGUGUAGGAGGGGAGAGUGGAACUUCUGGUGGAGCGGUGAAAUGCGUAGAUAUCAGAAGGAACGCCGGCGGCGAAAGCGACUCUCUGGCCCGAAACUGACGCUGAGUGUGCGAAAGCUAGGGGAGCAAACGGGAUUAGAUACCCCGGUAGUCCUAACUGUAAACGAUGGGCACUAAGUAGAGGGGUUUU
rnacentral:rRNA from 2 species